ACCACGAUUUGGCACACCUGGUGCCGAGACUAACUUAAAGUGGCCAGACACCCUCCCAUUAGCACUGAUAAAUAUGAGGGCCACUCCCAAUCAAAAGACUGGACUCAGCCCCCAUGAAAUUCUAACAGGGCGCCCGAUGCGACUACCGGCUGUGCCCCUCUGGGCUUGGCUCAGAUGGACAUUCAUUUAAUGAAUAAAACAAUGCUUAAUUAUUGUCAGACACUAACAAAAUGUGGUAGGUCUUUUUAUACACAGGUCAAAGAAGCACUACCCAAGAGUCUUGUCACAAUCUCCAGCCAGGAGACUGGGUCUAUGUCAAGGUCCAUCAAAGAAAGACUGUGCUAGAACCUCGAUGGGAAGGGCCCUUACCAGACAUCACAGUGAAUGAGAUGAUGCAAGUCAGAGAACUUUGGCCUGUAUAAAUACCGAUGAACUAAACAAAAAGAUAUCCAGUCUUGAUUUGAAGACAACAAGAAAUGGAGGACCCAUCAUAGAAACCUAAAUUUGGAGUUUCCUGAAUGUGUUUCUCAACUUUACCUUUGUAUUAGAGUUUGUUAUAUUUAAAUACAAAAGUUAAGUUAAAAGAGAUGUUU